rnacentral:rRNA from 1 species
CCUACGGGUGGCAGCAGUGGGGAAUAUUGCACAAUGGGGGAAACCCUGAUGCAGCGACGCCGCGUGAGCGAUGAAGUAUCUCCGUAUGUUAAGCUCUAUCAGCAGGGGAGAAAAUGACGGUACCUGACUCAGAAUCCCGGCUAACUACGUGCCAGCAGCCGCGAUAAUACUUAGGGGGCAAGCGUUAUCCGGAUUUACUGGGUGUAAAGGGGGCGUAGACGGCGGUGCAAGCCAGGCGUGAAAGCCCGGGGCUCAACCCCGGGACUGCAUUUGGAACUGUGCUGCUAGAGUUUGGGAGAGGCAGGCGGAAUGCGUGGUGUAGCGGUGAAAUGCGUAGAUAUUAGGCGGAACACCAGUGGCGAAGGCGGCCUGCUGGAUGAUGACUGACGUUGAGGCUCGAAAGCGUGGGGAGCGAACAGGAUUAGAUACCCCAGUAGUC